rnacentral:rRNA from 1 species
GACGAUGGAUCCUAGCGUUGUUCGGAAUCAUUGGGCGUAAAGCGGAUGUAGGUGGCUUUGUAAGUCAGAUGUGAAAGCCCCGGGCUCAACCCGGGAAGUGCAUUUGAUACUGCGAAGCUUGAGUGCUAGAGAGGUUACUAGAAUACCUGGUGUAGUGGUGAAAUACGUAGAUAUCAGGUGGAAUACCGGAGGCGAAGGCGGGUAACCAGCUAGACACUGACACUCAGAUCCGAAAGUGUGGGGAUCAAACAGG